rnacentral:miRNA from 1 species
AAUUCACCCAUGAGUCACUUAGAUUCACCUAAGGGUGAAUUCGAAUCACCCAUGGGUGAAUCUAAGUCACCCUUAGGUGAAUUCAAAUCACCCAUAGGUGAAUCUAAGUCACUCAUGGGUGAAUU